rnacentral:rRNA from 1 species
GACGAACGCUGGCGGCGUGCUUAACACAUGCAAGUCGAACGGAAAGGCCCUGCUUUUGUGGGGUGCUCGAGUGGCGAACGGGUGAGUAACACGUGAGUAACCUGCCCUUGACUUUGGGAUAACUUCAGGAAACUGGGGCUAAUACCGGAUAGGAGCUCCUGCUGCAUGGGGGGGGUUGGAAAGUUUCGGCGGUUGGGGAUGGACUCGCGGCUUAUCAGCUUGUUGGUGGGGUAGUGGCUUACCAAGGCUUUGACGGGUAGCCGGCCUGAGGGGGUGACCGGCCACAUUGGGACUGAGAUACGGCCCAGACUCCUACGGGAGGCAGCAGUGGGGAAUAUUGCACAAUGGGCGGAAGCCUGAUGCAGCAACGCCGCGUGCGGGAUGACGGCCUUCGGGUUGUAAACCGCUUUCGCCUGUGACGAAGCGUGAGUGACGGUAAUGGGUAAGGAAGCACCGGCUAACUACGUG